UAUAUCGAAUGUAAAAAUAACUUAUGAAAUAUAACAUAAUUCGUUUAUUGCUUGAAUUUCAUCUGUAAGUGAACGCGAUAACAGUUUAUACUAUGUUUUUACAGCAUAUGCCACAGUGGCAUUUCAGACGAAUUCAACUUGUAAUCCUUCAAGUGUAUGAUGCUUUUGGCACUAGCGUUUCUAUCACUGAUACCUAAUAGCGCUGCCGUGGUAGACUGCAGAGUGGCGUGUCGACGCUGCAGAGAAAAGACGGAUUUGCCGGAGAUGGUGGAGGUCUAUUGCGCCAUGUGUACCGAGUGUAAAGAGAGAAGGAUAGAACGGAUUCAAGCAACAAGUGGGUUGACUACCAAGGACGACUGCUAUCCUAUGCAAGAAAUAGCCGACUGUCCCGAGCAGUCUUGCGAAGAUUUAGAACAGACGCAAAAAUUACCAUUGAAAAAAAUCGUGACCUCCACAACCAGCACAACCACGACUCGUCGACCGUGCAUCACCACACCUUGCAAGAAGCCCCCACCGUAUUACUGUAUGCCCUUCAUGCCGCAGACUCUGUGCCCUUGCCCGAUUCAGAGCCAAGUGACCACGGAGACGAUUAAUCAGAAGCUGGUGUUGCCAGAGAACGAAAAAGAUUAUACCUAUAUAUACGUUGGGGUGCCGAAAGACCUUUUAAACGAAAAUUAGACAA